rfam:Rattus norvegicus chromosome 19, whole genome shotgun sequence.
UAGCUCAGUGGUAGAGCGCUUGCCUAGCAAGCACAAGGCCCUGGGUUCGGUCCCCAG